rnacentral:rRNA from 1 species
CCUACGGGUGGCAGCAGUGGGGAAUAUUGGACAAUGGGCGAAAGCCUGAUCCAGCCAUGCCGCGUGUGUGAAGAAGGCCUUCGGGUUGUAAAGCACUUUAAGUUGGGAGGAAAGCCUGUAUGUGAAUAAUGUGCAGGGUUGACGUUACCGACAGAAUAAGCACCGGCAAACUCCGUGCCAGCAGCCGCGGUAAUACGGAGGGUGCGAGCGUUAAUCGGAAUUACUGGGCGUAAAGCGCACGUAGGCGGUCAUGUAAGUGGGAUGUGAAAUCCCCGGGCUUAACCUGGGACUUGCAUCUCAGACUGCAUGACUAGAGUAUGGGAGAGGGAGGUGGAAUUUCCGGUGUAGCGGUGAAAUGCGUAGAGAUCGGAAGGAACAUCAGUGGCGAAGGCGGCCUCCUGGCCUAAUACUGACGCUGAGGUGCGAAAGCGUGGGGAUCAAACAGGAUUAGAUACCCUAGUAGUC